rnacentral:lncRNA from 1 species
GUUAUUAAAAGUUGUUAAUUAUAGAAUUAUGGUUAGAAUCUGGAGAAUCAGGAGAAAAUAUAUAGGAAUUAUAGAAGUUAAUUAGGGUGCCAUCGCUAUGAUAGUUGUGAGCCGAGAUAAGCUUCGUACUACCUCUUUUUUUUUGUUUGUUAUUUUCUUUGAAUAAGAAGAUUGAGAGUUUCUAAAUAUUGUGAAGUGAAUUAUGGAAUGGAAAUGUGAUUGGUAUUAUUUGAGAAGAAGAAAGAUUGAAUGCUGAAAUCUGAUUGUAGUUCAGUAAAAGAGAAUGAGUUUGUGUUUGUGUGAAACACCGUAAUGUGAAUGGCAGUUCUGUGUGAAGAAUUCCAGUGAUUGGAAUGAGGGUAAUUGUGUGCUGAAAGCUAUGAGGGC